rnacentral:rRNA from 1 species
AUUGAACGCUGGCGGCAUGCUUUACACAUGCAAGUCGAACGGUAACAGGCCUUCGGGUGCUGACGAGUGGCGAACGGGUGAGUAAUGCAUCGGAACGUGCCCAGAGGUGGGGGAUAACGCAGCGAAAGCUGUGCUAAUACCGCAUGAGAUCUGAGGAUGAAAGCGGGGGACCAGGCAGCAAUGUUUGGCCUCGCGCCUUUGGAGCGGCCGAUGUCAGAUUAGGUAGUUGGUGGGGUAAAGGCCUACCAAGCCGACGAUCUGUAGCUGGUCUGAGAGGACGACCAGCCACACUGGGACUGAGACACGGCCCAGACUCCUACGGGAGGCAGCAGUGGGGAAUUUUGGACAAUGGGCGCAAGCCUGAUCCAGCAAUGCCGCGUGCGGGAAGAAGGCCUUCGGGUUGUAAACCGCUUUUGUACGGAACGAAAAGGCUCUGGCUAAUACCUGGGGCUGAUGACGGUACCGUAAGAAUAAGCACCGGCUAACUACGUG